rnacentral:rRNA from 1 species
GACGAACGCUGGCGGCGUGCUUAACACAUGCAAGUCGAACGGAAAGGCCUCUUUCGGGGGGUACUCGAGUGGCGAACGGGUGAGUAACACGUGAGUAACCUGCCCUUGACUUUGGGAUAACUUCAGGAAACUGGGGCUAAUACCGGAUAGGAGCUCCUGCUGCAUGGUGGGGGUUGGAAAGUUUCGGCGGUUGGGGAUGGACUCGCGGCUUAUCAGCUUGUUGGUGGGGUAGUGGCUUACCAAGGCUUUGACGGGUAGCCGGCCUGAGAGGGUGACCGGCCACAGUGGGACUGAGAUACGGCCCAGACUCCUACGGGAGGCAGCAGUGGGGAAGAUUGCACAAUGGGUGGAAGCCUGAUGCAGCAACGCCGGGUGCGGGAUGACGGCCUUCGGGUUGUAAACCGCUUUCGCUCAUGACGAAGCUUUGUGUGACGGUAGUGGGUAAAGAAGCACCGGCUAACUACGUG